GAUGAACGCUGACAGAAUGCUUAACACAUGCAAGUCGAUGGGGAAGUGGGGCUUGCACCAUGGUAACCAUGGGGGACGGGUGAGUAACGCGUAAGGAACUUACCUGCGGGACCGGGAUAACAGCAGGAAACUGCUGACAAGACCGGAUAAGGCCAUUAAGCUGCAUAGCUUAGUGAUGAAAGGAGACGCCUGCUGAGAGCCUUGCGUCCGAUUAGCGAGUUGGAGGGGUAACGGCCCACCAAGGCGAAGAUAGGUAGCCCGCCUGAGAGGGUGGACGGUCACAAGGCGUAUGAGAUGCGGCACUUACUCCUACGGGAGACAGCGGUGAAGAAUAUUGGACCAUGGGCGCGACCCUGAUGCAGCACUUCUGUGUGCACGAAGACGGUUUUCGGAUUGUAAAGUGCUUUCAGCAGGGAAGAAGGAUGUGACGGUACCUGCAGAAGAAGCGACGGCUAAAUACGUG
rnacentral:rRNA from 1 species